rnacentral:rRNA from 1 species
CAGAACGAACGCUGGCGGCAUGCCUAACACAUGCAAGUCGAACGAUGCCUUCGGGCAUAGUGGCGCACGGGUGCGUAACGCGUGGGAAUCUGCCCUUGGGUUCGGAAUAACUCAGAGAAAUUUGAGCUAAUACCGGAUGAUGACGUAAGUCCAAAGAUUUAUCGCCCAAGGAUGAGCCCGCGUAAGAUUAGCUAGUUGGUGGGGUAAAGGCCUACCAAGGCGACGAUCUUUAGCUGGUCUGAGAGGAUGAUCAGCCACACUGGGACUGAGACACGGCCCAGACUCCUACGGGAGGCAGCAGUGGGGAAUAUUGGACAAUGGGCGAAAGCCUGAUCCAGCAAUGCCGCGUGAGUGAUGAAGGCCUUAGGGUUGUAAAGCUCUUUUACCAGGGAUGAUAAUGACAGUACCUGGAGAAUAAGCUCCGGCUAACUCCGUG